UCCCUGCGUUCGCUCGGCCUUGAAGCUCCCAUGGCGCGCGCUCUAUUUCCUCGCGCGGCUUCCUGCUCGCCUGGCCGCUCGUCCAAGAGCUCUCCAUCGCGGCGCGCGCUUCUUCCCCGCUCGCUCCUCUCUGCGGCUCGCCCUCUCUUCCUCCAGCUCAUCCUGCUCGCCAUGGCCACCGCGCCUUGUUUCUCUUUCCCCUGCGCUCAGCUCACCGAGCUCUCCCUCUCCCUGGUUCCAUGCAAGUGCGUCCCUGGCUCGGACCCAACUCGGCGCCCUCCCAUCUCCCUGCGUCUCUCUCUUCUUGAACACCCUGUGCGCGCGCUCGGUCUCUAGCUCCGUUACCGUUGGGGACUUGUUCUCAAAUACUGUGAAUCAAGAACAAGACAACACAAAAUAUUAAAUAUCAAAAGGCCCUUCGUCCUUCAAAUCAUUAUUUCCUUUCGGACAUAAUGAAUUUAGGACGAAGGUCAUGAAGGUCAUACCUUCAUGAUCAUGAUAAAAAAUGGAGAACAUUCAAAUAAAAUAUAGAAAGUGAC
rnacentral:misc_RNA from 1 species